GACGAACGCUGGCGGCGUGCUUAACACAUGCAAGUCGAACGGAAAGGCCCUGCUUUUGUGGGGUGCUCGAGGGGCGAACGGGUGAGUAACACGUGAGUAACCUGCCCUUGACUUUGGGAUAACUUCAGGAAACUGGGGCUAAUACCGGAUAGGAGCUCCUGCUGCAUGGUGGGGGUUGGAAAGCUUCGGCGGUUGGGGAUGGACUCGCGGCUUAUCAGCUUGUUGGUGGGGUAGUGGCUUACCAAGGCUUUGACGGGUAGCCGGCCUGAGAGGGUGACCGGCCACAUUGGGACUGAGAUGCGGCCCAGACUCCUACGGGAGGCAGCAGUGGGGAAUAUUGCACAAUGGGCGGAAGCCUGAUGCAGCGACGCCGCGUGCGGGAUGACGGCCUUCGGGUUGUAAACCGCUUUCGCCUGUGACGAAGCGUUAGUGACGGUAAUGGGUAAAGAAGCACCGGCUAACUACGUG
rnacentral:rRNA from 1 species